rnacentral:rRNA from 1 species
UUUGAGAGAAGGGAUGACACAGUAGGAUAAGCUAAGCACACUGUUGGUUAUGUGUGCCCAAGCAUUGAGGCAGUCAAAGCAGGCAAAUCCGCUUUGAUAAUGCUGGGAUGUGAUGGGGAGCGAAAUUUAGUAGCGAAGUAGCUGAUUUCACACUGUCAAGAAAAGUCUCUAUCGAGGUUAAAGGUACCCGUACCGCAAACCGACACAGGUGGGUGAGGAGAGUAUCCUAAGGCCAGCGAGAGAACUGUUGUUAAGGAACUCGGCAAAAUGACCCCGUAACUUAGGGAUAAGGGGUGCCACCAUCCGGUGGCCGCAGAGAAUAGGCCCAAGCGACUGUUUACCAAAAACAUAGGUUUCUGCUAAGUCGCAAGACGAUGUAUAGGAGCUGACGCCUGCCCGGUGCUGGAAGGUUAAGGGGAUCUGUUAGAGCAAUCGAAGCAGUGAACUUAAGCCCCAGUAAACGGCGGCCGUAACUAUAACGGUCCUAAGGUAGCGAAAUUCCUUGUCGGGUAAGUUCCGACCCGCACGAAAGGCGUAACGAUUUGGGCACUGUCUCAACAACAGACUCGGUGAAAUUGUAAUUCCGGUGAAGAUGCCGGAUACCUGCGACAGGACGGAAAGACCCCAUGGAGCUUUACUGUAGCUUGACAUUGGGUCUUGGUACUACAUGUACAGGAUAGGUGGGAGGCUUUGAAACCAGGACGCCAGUUUUGGCGGAGCCAUCCUUGGGAUACCACCCUUGUAGUACUGGGACUCUAACCAUAGGCCAUGAAUCUGGUCUUGGGACACUGUCAGGUGGGCAGUUUGACUGGGGCGGUCGCCUCCCAAAAGGUAACGGAGGCGCUCAAAGGUUCUCUCAGUACGGUCGGAAAUCGUACGUAGAGUGUAAAGGCAAAAGAGAGCUUGAUUGCAAGACAUACAGGUCGAGCAAGGAUGAAAAUCGGACUUAGUGAUCCGGUGGUUCUGCGUGGAAGGGCCAUCGCUCAACGGAUAAAAGCUACCCUGGGGAUAACAGGCUUAUCUCCCCCAAGAGUCCACAUCGACGGGGAGGUUUGGCACCUCGAUGUCGGCUCAUCACAUCCUGGGGCUGUAGUAGGUCCCAAGGGUUGGGCUGUUCGCCCAUUAAAGUGGUACGCGAGCUGGGUUCAGAACGUCGUGAGACAGUUCGGUCCCUAUCCGUCGCAGGCGUAGGAAAUUUGAGAAGACCUGUCCUUAGUACGAGAGGACCGGGAUGGACGUACCUCUGGUGUACCAGUUGUUCUGCCAAGGGCAUGGCUGGG